rnacentral:rRNA from 1 species
AUGAACGCUGGCGGCGUGCCUAAUACAUGCAAGUCGAGCGCACAGACGAGGAGCUUGCUCCUCUGACGUUAGCGGCGGACGGGUGAGUAACACGUGGAUAACCUACCUAUAAGACUGGGAUAACUUCGGGAAACCGGAGCUAAUACCGGAUAAUAUAUUGAACCGCAUGGUUCAAUAGUGAAAGACGGUUUUGCUAUCACUUAUAGAUGGAUCCGCGCCGCAUUAGCUAGUUGGUAAGGUAACGGCUUACCAAGGCAACGAUGCGUAGCCGACCUGAGAGGGUGAUCGGCCACACUGGAACUGAGACACGGUCCAGACUCCUACGGGAGGCAGCAGUAGGGAAUCUUCCGCAAUGGGCGAAAGCCUGACGGAGCAACGCCGCGUGAGUGAUGAAGGUCUUCGGAUCGUAAAACUCUGUUAUUAGGGAAGAACAAAUGUGUAAGUAACUAUGCACGUCUUGACGGUACCUAAUCAGAAAGCCACGGCUAACUACGUG